rnacentral:rRNA from 1 species
GUCUUUGGAUUGCUUAUGCCCACAUGUGUUUUUCUUUGAAACAAACUUGCUUUGGCGGUGGGCCCAGCCUGCCGCCAGAGGUCUAAACUUACAACCAAUUUUUUAUCAACUUGUCACACCAGAUUAUUACUAAUAGUCAAAACUUUCAACAACGGAUCUCUUGGUUCUCGCAUCGAUGAAGAACGCAGCGAAAUGCGAUACGUAAUAUGAAUUGCAGAUAUUCGUGAAUCAUCGAAUCUUUGAACGCACAUUGCGCCCUCUGGUAUUCCGGAGGGCAUGCCUGUUUGAGCGUCGUUUCUCCCUCAAACCGCUGGGUUUGGUGUUGAGCAAUACGACUUGGGUUUGCUUGAAAGACGGUAGUGGUAAGGCGGGAUCGCUUUGACAAUGGCUUAGGUCUAACCAAAAACAUUGCUUGCGGCGGUAACGUCCACCACGUAUAUCUUCAAACUUUGACCUCAAAUCAGGUAGGACUACCCGCUGAACUUAAGCAUAUCAAUAGUCGGAGGAA